AUUGAACGCUGGCGGCAGGCUUAACACAUGCAAGUCGAGCGGGGGAAGGUAGCUUGCUACUGGACCUAGCGGCGGACGGGUGAGUAAUGCUUAGGAAUCUGCCUAUUAGUGGGGGACAGCAUCUCGAAAGGGAUGCUAAUACCGCAUACGUCCUACGGGAGAAAGCAGGGGAUCUUCGGACCUUGCGCUAAUAGAUGAGCCUAAGUCGGAUUAGCUAGUUGGUGGGGUAAAGGCCUACCAAGGCGACGAUCUGUAGCGGGUCUGAGAGGAUGAUCCGCCACACUAGGACUGAGACACGGCCCAGACUCCUACGGGAGGCAGCAGUGGGGAAUAUUGGACAAUGGGGGGAACCCUGAUCCAGCCAUGCCGCGUGUGUGAAGAAGGCCUUAUGGUUGUAAAGCACUUUAAGCGAGGAGGAGGCUACUCUAGUUAAUACCUAGGGAUAGUGGACGUUACUCGCAGAAUAAGCACCGGCUAACUCUGUGCCAGCCGCCGCCGUAAUAC
rnacentral:rRNA from 1 species